AACGGCGGCCGUAACUAUAACGGUCCUAAGGUAGCGAAAUUCCUUGUCAGGUAAGUUCUGACCCGCAUGAAAGGCGUAAUGAUUUGGGCACUGUCUCAACAGCCCGCCCGGCGAAAUUGUAGUACCGGUGAAGAUGCCGGUUACCCGCGACAAGACGGAAAGACCCCAUGGAGCUUUACUGUAGCCUAAUAUUGGGUUUCGAUGUUGCAUGCACAGGAUAGAUGGGACUCUGGGAAACCAAGGCUUUGGCUUUGGCGGAGAGGCCGUUGGGAUACCAUCCUUGCGAUAUUGGAAUUCUAACCUGCGGCUCUGAAUCGAGUCGGGGGACAUUGUUAGGUGGGCAGUUUGACUGGGGCGGUCGCCUCCUAAAGAGUAACGGAGGCGUUCAAAGGUUCGCUCAGCUUGAACGGAAAUCAAGCAAAAGAGUGCAAACGCAGAAGCGAGCCUAACUGCGAGACUGACGGGUCGAGCAGUAACGAAAGUUGGAGUUAGUGAUCCGGUGGUAUGUGAGUGGAAAUGCCAUCGCUCAACGGAUAAAAGUUACCCUGGGGAUAACAGGCUGAUCUCCCCCAAGAGUCCACAUCGACGGGGAGGUUUGGCACCUCGAUGUCGGCUCAUCGCAUCCUGGGGCUGUAUUCGGUCCCAAGGGUUUGGCUGUUCGCCAAUUAAAGCGGUACGCGAGCUGGGUUCAGAACGUCGUGAGACAGUUCGGUCCCUAUCUGUCGUGGGCGCAGGAUAUUUGAUGGGAGCUGUCCCUAGUACGAGAGGACCGGGACGGACGUACCUCUGGCGCACCAGUUGUUCCGCCAGGAGCAUAGCUGGGCAACUACGUACGGAUCGGAUAAACGCUGAAAGCAUCUAAGCGUGAAGCCGACCCAAAGAUAAGAUAUCCCAUUGUUUUAAACAAGUAAGACCCCUUGAAGACUACAAGGUCGAUAGGCACGAUGUGUAAGUGGAGCGAUCCAUUCAGCAAGCGUGUACUAAUAGGUCGAGGGCUUGACCAC
rnacentral:rRNA from 1 species